GCCUGGGUGGCUCAGUUGGUUAAGCGUCUGACUUCAGCUCAGGUCAUGAUUCUGGGGUCCUGGGAUCAAACCCCACGUCAGGCU
rnacentral:tRNA from 1 species